rnacentral:tRNA from 1 species
AAUCCUGGGGUCGGAGGUUCGAAUCCUCUCGUGGACACCA